AUUGAACGCUGGCGGCGUGCUUAACACAUGCAAGUCGAGCGGAGCGGCGAACGGGUGAGUAACGCGUGAGUAACUGCCCCCCUCUCUGGGAUAACAGUUGGAAACGGCUGCUAAUACCUGAUAGUUGGGGAUGACUCGCGUCCUAUCAGCUUGUUGGUGGGGUAGUGGCCUACCAAGGCGAAGACGGGUAGCCGGCCUGAGAGGGCGACCUGCCACAUUGGGCUGAGAUACGGCCCAGAGUACUACGGGAGGCAGCAGUGGUGAAUAUUGCACACUGGGGGAAACCCGGAGGCAGCAACGCGCGGGCGGGAAGACGGCCUUCGGGUUGUAAACCGAUUUCAGCAAUGACGCGGUAGUGGCAGAAGAAGCACCGGCUAACUACGUGCCAGCCGCCGCGGUAAUUC
rnacentral:rRNA from 1 species